rnacentral:misc_RNA from 1 species
GUGAACGCCCUCACGGGCUUAUACUAUUCCAAACCUCUGUGAACCGUGCCCUUCGGGGCUAUUUUACAAACAUGGUGUAAUGAACGUCAUCAUAAUAUCAUAACAAAACA